rnacentral:lncRNA from 10 species
CCCAAGUUAGCUGGAAUUACAGGUGGACCCAAUCUAAUCAUCAGCUCCUGAAAAAUGGAAAACCUUUUCCAACUGGUGAGAGGGAGAUGUGACAGUGAAGGCUCAGAGGGAGAUGCACUAUUGCUGGCCUUGAAGAUUGAGGAUGGAGUCAAGAGCUAAGGAAUGAACAGGACCUCCAGAAGCUAGAAAAGAAAAUGUCUGCCAAAUACACAAGUCUGAAUCACUUCAGGUUGUCCGUCAUAUUUUCAAGAUGGUGCUCUAUGCAAAAAACAGUACAGGUUACGACUCACAAAAUGACGUAAGUGCUUUUCUUGGAGACAACCAAGAUACUUCAAAUUGUAGCAGAAAUGCUUUAUGCCUACGUCCCGUGGCAUCACACACAAUAUUAAAAACAGUACAGGAUCAAGGGCAGAGAUUAGAUGGAAUUAAUAAUUUUUACUGCUCACGCCUGUAAUCCCAGCACUUUGGGAGGCCGAGGUGGGUGGAUCACGAGGUCAGGAGAUCGAGACCAUCCUGGCUAACAAGGUGAAACCCCGUCUCUACUAAAAAUACAAAAAAUUAGCCGGGCGCGGUGGCAGGCGCCUGUAGUCCCAGCUACUCGGGAGGCUGAGGCAGG